rnacentral:rRNA from 1 species
UGGGGAAUAUUGCACAAUGGGGGAAACCCUGAUGCAGCCAUGCCGCGUGCAGGAAGACGGCCCUCUGGGUUGUAAACUGCUUUUAUUCGGGAAUAAACCUACUUACGUGUAAGUAGCUGAAUGUACCGAAGGAAUAAGGAUCGGCUAACUCCGUGCCAGCAGCCGCGGUAAUACGGAGGAUCCAAGCGUUAUCCGGAUUUAUUGGGUUUAAAGGGUGCGUAGGCGGCCUAUUAAGUCAGGGGUGAAAGACGGUAGCUCAACUAUCGCAGUGCCCUUGAUACUGAUGGGCUUGAAUGAACUAGAGGUAGGCGGAAUGUGACAAGUAGCGGUGAAAUGCAUAGAUAUGUCACAGAACACCGAUUGCGAAGGCAGCUUACUAUGGUUUUAUUGACGCUGAGGCACGAAAGCGUGGGGAUCAAACA